rnacentral:rRNA from 1 species
CGGCAGCAGCUCAAAUUUGAAAUCUGGCCCCCCUGGUGCCCGAGUUGUAAUUUGCAGAGGGUGCUUUGGCGCUGGCUAUGGUCCAAGUUCCCUGGAACAGGAUGUCACAGAGGGUGAGAACCCCGUAUGUGGCCGCUAGCCCCCAGCCGUGUAAAGCCCCUUCGAC